rnacentral:rRNA from 1 species
AGUGGCGGACGGGUGAGUAAUGUCUGGGAAACUGCCUGAUGGAGGGGGAUAACUACUGGAAACGGUAGCUAAUACCGCAUAACGUCGCAAGACCAAAGAGGGGGACCUUCGGGCCUCUUGCCAUCGGAUGUGCCCAGAUGGGAUUAGCUAGUAGGUGGGGUAACGGCUCACCUAGGCGACGAUCCCUAGCUGGUCUGAGAGGAUGACCAGCCACACUGGAACUGAGACACGGUCCAGACUCCUACGGGAGGCAGCAGUGGGGAAUAUUGCACAAUGGGCGCAAGCCUGAUGCAGCCAUGCCGCGUGUAUGAAGAAGGCCUUCGGGUUGUAAAGUACUUUCAGCGGGGAGGAAGGGAGUAAAGUUAAUACCUUUGCUCAUUGACGUUACCCGCAGAAGAAGCACCGGCUAACUCCGUGCCAGCAGCCGCGGUAAUACGGAGG